CAACAACCUCUACCUCUUCUCUUCGGACCUUCUCUUCGGUGGAAUUCUCUGAUGGAACUCUUUACUGGGUUACCCAUCUCAGAAGGAACAAUCACCUUCUACCUCUGGUCCCGCUGCAUUUGUGAGCCAUUGUUGGCAUACAUGGAGCAGAUAUCGACACCAGCUUCUACAAAAUCAGGAGAGAUUCACUGCAGUGUCAUACCGUCAUCAGUCAGCUGCUCCUGAAUACAGGGUGAAAGACAGAGUGUCUCUCUCUUCGCCCGAUGUGCCGCUGAAAAAGGGGAAGCUGCAUCGAACGCUACCGCCGGGACCACUCUGACCAACCUCACAUGUCUAGGAGCCAGAUUUUGUUAGAGGGGUCAUGUGAUGGGUUGCCCCCUAGUGUUGCUGUUAGGUCCUGUUUCUUUGCUGGUUGGCUGUGGCCUCUCCCGAAUUGGUCACAGCUGCCUGCACUUAUCUAAUCUAGCUUCCUUAUUUGAAGGACUGUUCAUUCUGUGUUUGGUUAUGGAGCAUAUUGUAUGCUGUCGCCUAUGCUUGGCAUUUGAUUGAAUCUUUGAAAACA